rnacentral:rRNA from 1 species
GACGAACGCUGGCGGCGUGCUUAACACAUGCAAGUCGAACGGAAAGGCCCUGCUUUUGUGGGGUGCUCGAGUGGCGAACGGGUGAGUAACACGUGAGUAACCUGCCCUUGACUUUGGGAUAACUUCAGGAAACUGGGGCUAAUACCGGAUAGGAGCUCCUGCUGCAUGGUGGGGGUUGGAAAGUUUCGGCGGUUGGGGAUGGACGCGCGGCUUAUCAGCUUGUUGGUGGGGUAGUGGCUUACCAAGGCUUUGACGGGUAGCCGGCCUGAGAGGGUGACCGGCCACAUUGGGACUGAGAUACGGCCCAGACUCCUACGGGAGGCAGAAGUGGGGAAUAUUGCACAAUGGGCGGAAGCCUGAUGCAGCAACGCCGCGUGCGGGAUGACGGCCUUCGUGUUGUAAACCGCUUUCGCCUGUGACGAAGCGUGAGUGACGGUAAUGGGUAAAGAAGCACCGGCUAACUACGUG